AUUGAACGCUGGCGGCAGGCUUAACACAUGCAAGUCGAGCGGAGCGAGGGUGCUUGCACCUUAGCUUAGCGGCGGACGGGUGAGUAAUGCUUAGGAAUCUGCCUAUUAGUGGGGGACAACAUUCCGAAAGGAAUGCUAAUACCGCAUACGCCCUACGGGGGAAAGCAGGGGAUCUUCGGACCUUGCGCUAAUAGAUGAGCCUAAGUCGGAUUAGCUAGUUGGUGGGGUAAAGGCCUACCAAGGCGACGAUCUGUAGCGGGUCUGAGAGGAUGAUCCGCCACACUGGGACUGGAACACGGCCCAGACUCCUACGGGAGGCAGCAGUGGGGAAUAUUGGACAAUGGGCGGAAGCCUGAUCCAGCCAUGCCGCGUGUGUGAAGAAGGCCUUUUGGUUGUAAAGCACUUUAAGCGAGGAGGAGGCUACUUAGAUUAAUACUCUGGGAUAGUGGACGUUACUCGCAGAAUAAGCACCGGCUAACUCUGUGCCAGCCGCCGCCGUAAAAC
rnacentral:rRNA from 1 species